CAAUUGUAUAAGUCUAAAUGUAGCAUAUCUUCAUUACAAUAAAGCAGACAUUUUGCACUUGUUCUUUUAUAUGUAUCUUUCAAAGUGUCAGAUAAAAUGCAAAAACAAGCAAAAGUCACAAAUGAGAACUUGACCUUGACCUUUGACCUUGACCUCAUUUUCUAAGUUAGUACCUAGGGGACUCAUAUAAAAACAUUCCAGGGUUGUACGGUUAAUGGUUUAUAAGUUAAAAAUACAUGCCGACAAAGUUAUUGUUUAAAGGUAAUGAAGGUAGAUAGAUAACUCGCUUUGAUCCAAAUAAGCCAAAAAUUCCUCAAAUUCCUAAGGAUGUAACGAACAAUUAAGAAAAAGAAUUUUGUCGAUAUCUUUUU
rnacentral:lncRNA from 1 species